ACAGCAGUAGCCACGGGAAUACAGAGGCCUCAAGCGUUGUUCGGAUUCAUUGGGCGUAAAGGGAGCGUAGGCGGUCGGGUAAGUCGGAUGUGAAAUCCUGGGGCUCAACCUCAGAACUGCAUUCGAUACUGCUUGGCUAGAGGACUGGAGAGGUGAGUGGAAUUCACGGUGUAGCAGUGAAAUGCGUAGAUAUCGUGAGGAAGACCGGCGGCGAAGGCGGCUCACUGGACAGUACCUGACGCUGAUGCUCGAAGGCCAGGGGAGCAAACGGGAUUAGAUACCCCAGUAGUCCCUGUCUCUUAUAU
rnacentral:rRNA from 1 species